GCAGGUGGAGGUCGUUAGCCGUGGUAGGCAAUUCACCUAGGAGAGCAAACUCUAAACAAACCCGGGCAGGUGGAGGUCGUUAGCCGUGGUAGGCAAUUCACCUAGGAGAGCAAACUCUAAACAAACCCGGGCAGGUGAGGCUCGUUAGCCGUGGGAGGCAAUUCACCUAGGAGAGCAAACUCUAAACAAACCCGGGCAGGUGGAGGUCGUUAGCCGUGGUAGGCAAUUCACCUAGGAGAGCAAACUCCGAACAAUAAACCCGGGCAGGUGGAGCUCGUCAGCCGUGGUAGGCAAUCUGCCUAGGAGAGCAAACUCCGAACAAUAAACCCGGGCAGGUGGAGGUCGUCAGCCGUGGUAGGCAGUCUGCCUAGGAGAGCAAACUCUAAAUAAACCCGGGCUUGUGGUGCUCGUUAUACUGUCGUAGACAAUCCACGCGAUGGGAACACCAAAGAAAAGGAAAAUAAAAAAGAACACCAGAAAAAUGGAAAAUACAGAAACGAAACAUCAAGAAAAGAAACAAAAAGAUCAUCCACCUUUAGGCCCUAACAU